rnacentral:rRNA from 1 species
ACGCACGCUGGCGGCGUGCUUCACACCUGCCAGUCGAACGGAAAGGCCCCUUUGGGGGUACUCGAGUGGCGAACGGGUGAGUAACACGUGAGUAACCUGCCCUUGACUUCGGGAUAACUUCAGGAAACUGGGGCUAAUACCGGAUAGGAAUCCUUGCUGCAUGGUGGGGGUUGGAAAGCUUCGGCGGUUUUGGAUGGACUCGCGGCUUAUCAGCUUGUUGGUGGGGUAGUGGCUUACCAAGGCUUUGACGGGUAGCCGGCUUGAGAGGGCGACCGGCCACAUUGGGACUGAGAUACGGCCCAGACUCCUACGGGAGGCAGCAGUGGGGAAUAUUGCACAAUGGGCGGAAGCCUGAUGCAGCAACGCCGCGUGCGGGAUGACGGCCUUCGGGUUGUAAACCGCUUUCAGCAGGGGCGAAGCUUGUGGUGACGGUACCUGCAGAAGAAGCACCGGCUAACUACGUG